rnacentral:rRNA from 1 species
GACGAACGCUGGCGGCGUGCUUAACACAUGCAAGUCGAACGGAAAGGCCCUGCUUUUGUGGGGUGCUCGAGUGGCGAACGGGUGAGUAACACGUGAGUAACCUGCCCUUGACUUUGGGAUAACUUCAGGAAACUGGGGCUAAUACCGGAUAGGAGCUCCUGCUGCAUGGUGGUGGUUGGAAAGUUUCGGCGGUUGGGGAUGGACUCGCGGCUUAUCAGCUUGUUGGUGGGGUAGUUGCUUACCAAGGCUUUGACGGGUAGCCGGCCUGAGAGGGUGACCGGCCACAUUGGGACUGAGAUACGGACCAGACUCCUACGGGAGGCAGCAGUGGGGAGUAUUGCACAAUGGGCGGAAGCCUGAUGCAGCAACGCCGCGUGCGGGAUGACGGCCUUCGGGUUGUAAACCGCUUUCGCCUGUGACGAAGCGUGAGUGACGGUAAUGGGUAAAGAAGCACCGGCUAACUACGUG